UACGUAGGGGGCAAGCGUUGUCCGGAUUUAUUGGGCGUAAAGAGCGUGUAGGCGGCCAGACAGGUCUGCUGUGAAAACUCGAGGCUCAACCUCGAGACGCCGGUGGAAACCGUCUGGCUAGAGUCCGGAAGAGGAGAGUGGAAUUCCUGGUGUAGCGGUGAAAUGCACAGAUAUCAGGAAGAACACCCGUGGCUAAGGCGGCUCUCUAGUACGGUACUGACGCUGAGACGCGAAAGCGUGGGGAGCGAACAGG
rnacentral:rRNA from 1 species